UACAGAGGGUGCGAGCGUUGUCCGGAAUCAUUGGGCGUAAAAGGCUUGUAGGUGGCCACGCCAAGUCGGAUGUGAAAUCUCCCGGCUCAACUGGGAGGGGUCAUUCGAUACUGGCGGGCUCGAGGCCGGUAGGGGGAAGCGGAAUUCCCGGUGUAGUGGUGGAAUGCGUAGAUAUCGGGAGGAACACCAGUGGCGAAGGCGGCUUCCUGGACCGGUUCUGACACUGAUGCACGAAAGCGUGGGGAUCAAACAGG
rnacentral:rRNA from 1 species